GGGAUAUUGCGCAAUGGGGGCAACCCUGACGCAGCAACGCCGCGUGAAGGAAGACGGUUUUCGGAUUGUAAACUUCUUUUGUCAGGGACGAAAUUUGACGGUACCUGACGAAUAAGCUCCGACUAACUACGUGCCAGCAGCCGCGGUAAUACGUAGGGAGCAAGCGUUGUCCGGAUUUACUGGGUGUAAAGGGUGCGUAGGCGGCUUUGUAAGUCAGAUGUGAAAUCUAUGGGCUCAACCCAUAAACUGCAUUUGAAACUAUAAAGCUUGAGUGAAGUAGAGGCAGGCGGAAUUCCCUGUGUAGCGGUGAAAUGCGUAGAGAUAGGGAGGAACACCAGUGGCGAAGGCGGCCUGCUGGGCUUUAACUGACGCUGAGGCACGAAAGCGUGGGUAGCAAACA
rnacentral:rRNA from 1 species